ACACAUAAAGUCCAAGAAUUUGGUGAAUUAUGUCAAGCAAAUGGAGAACACCAAGAAACUUCUGCUGGUGGAUGGCGGUCCCAUAGGUGAAAAGUUGAAGUUGGCUACACAAAAUCUACAUUAUGCAAAUGUACUGCCAUCAAUUGGUUUGAAUGUCUACAGCAUCCUGCUUCACGACACACUGGUAGUGUCCGGCAAGGCAGUAAACAAAAUUGUUGAGAGGAUGCACACUCCAAUUAACCGUUAAAUCACUCCACUUGACAAGCUACAUUCCAGUUUCGGAUGAGAAUAGGAAUUAUUUUCUCUUUCAUAGAAGAAAUGUAAUUCAGAACAUAUUUGUGCGUUGCUUCUGUCAAAAUGUGGAAAUCCAUUGGUGGAUAGGUUGAUUUUUUUUGUGCAUUGGCCUUGUAUCUUCGGCUGAGAAUUUUGCAGUUGAAUAUUGGCUGCUAUCCUAAAUCAGGAUGAAAGGCAGGGAAUUCACUUUCUUCUU